ensembl:lncRNA
UAGAUGUACAUCAUAUUUCAAAUUCUGGAUACAUUACAUCAUGUUCACCACCCGAACACUAAUUAUAGUGCAUCCCCUCACAUGAAGAAACUGAUUCUCAGAGGCAUUGUAUAGAGUGCCCUAGAUCUCACCACUAGUAAAUGGAAGAAGUGGGGCUCCACCCGAAAUCUGUCUGAUUCAAAAACUCAACUCUGCCACAAUCCGGUCUUAAUAACGCAGCGUGGAUCAUGAAAACGGAAUAGAUUUGCAAAGGACAACUUACCGUGACACUUUUCUCCUGCCUUAAGUGAUCAAAAUAUUUCCAACUCAGAAUAGAGAAAGGAGAUGUCUAUGCUGUGUCUAACACUAAAUACAGACAUAUUUAUAAAACUGUCAAUGGGAAGGGGUCCUUGAAUCUGAUGACCCAUAGUCAUUAGUCAGACCCUUAAAAUUUGCAAAGAAAACAAGUGCACAGAUUCCCAUUAAUGAGUGCGUUCUGUAGGAAGACAUGAAAGAAUGUGAGAUAGCAUUUAUAUCUCAGACUCUGUGGACUAUAUACUGAAACUGGCAAGGGCUCUACGCUUUACAGAAAUCUGAUGAGCUGGGUAGUAUCAGUUGGGGCAGCAAAGUGAGAAGAGACCCAGAUUUUCUCUGUUCAUAUAACCGUUCACUCUUUCCAGCUAAGAAGAUUUGACUGGGCGGGUUUGUUCCACUCAAUCAGCAGUGCCUUAUUGUGUAGAGUGAAACCCAGGGUCUCUGUUCUUUUACAUGGCAGCCUUUGACCGCAGCAAAUUAAUUUCCAGUUUGCAAUCAGUUACAGGUAUAGUAAUAGGAUUGGCUUCAUUAAAAAAAACAAAAGAUAACAUGAACAAUGAUUUCUAGGGAGGAAUUAAUCACUUGUUUUUUUCAAAGAGCACUGUGUAUGUGUGACCAACAUGGACUCAGGAACUUUGCAGAUUUCUCCUGCAACCUAUAGCACCAUACAAAGAUCUCUCUCAUUUCUUAAUUUAAUAAUAACAGUAAUAAUUAUAACUAAAGGUACUCAUUCUACCCCAGCUCCAUGCAAAUCAGCUAUGAGAAAAAAAUAUGUAAAAAUUGCAUGUGUCUGUUUGAUAACAUUUUCUACCUUGGUACUGAAUAAAUUAUACUGAAUAUCAAAAUGACCAAAAGGGAAGGAAAAUGAGAAGAGAUGAAGAGAGAAAGAUGAAUACAGUUAUCCCAUCUUUUGCAUUUGAGUGAUUGAGGUUAUGUUCAAUGAAAUAUAGUAUAGUUUUUUUGUUUCAAUUUGAUAUAAACUUCUCAAUAUCAAAAAGUACAAAAGUAAAUUUCUACUAUUUCACUUCCAGACAAAAUGUGGGUAUCUAAAUUCACUGUCAUAUCUUUUGUACAAACACAAAAGACAUUUUCCAGUUACCUAGAAUACUGCACUUGAUCCUCAGGAAAUGAGAAAAUGAUAAAACUAGUAUAGGAAAUGUGUAUGUUCAAAGGAACUCGAGGUGGAAAAAGAUAAAGUGACACAAAUAAAAAGAGUUUAAAGAUGUGACUUCCCACAUGUUCUAUAAAUCACCCUUGAUAUUGAUCGCAUCUCACAAUAUUUUUGAAUCUUGCCUUGUCUAGUACAUUUCCUGAAAUAUGUUCUGUAUCUAUCCUUAACUACAAUUUUGAUUUUCUAUAAUUCUGCUCUUUCUGCAUUUCCUUACCUAUAGAAUUGCUCUGUUGUGAGCUGACCAACAGUGUAAUAAAAUAUAUCAUUUUACUGCUGUGAUUUUGUUCCUCUUGUCACUUUAUAAAGAUAAUAGGUGGCUUUGAAAAGUCAAGAGGAUGGGGAGACGAGUCAGUGAUGUUACCCUUCAAAGAGUU